AAUUGAUUCAUGAAGUGCAGAGUCACUGUGAAAACCGACAGAGCCUGUUGCUCUCCAGGACCAGGGUUGGAGACCACUGGUGUAGAGCUUGCAGAUGGGGGGCCUACACAUACUUCCAGUUCUGAAACCACAACUUCCUUCAUCCUCCUAGUAUCAGGACCUGUCAAGGAAGGCUGGGCCUCUCGUACGUAUCUCCUUGUCCCCGGUCACACCUUCACGCACUGCAUCUAAGAUAUUCAGGACGAUGGUGGGAAUCACACUCCCGUGGGAGUGGGCAUCAGUGCUUAGCACAGAUGACAACGGAAAAUUAAAAUGUGACAGUUGGACAGCAAACUGUUCCUAAGUACAUGGUGUGGGAGAAAUGCAUUAAUGCUGUUUUAUCCUUGUCUACCCUAGUGUGCAUGCAAAUGAACUGAUUUUUUUUUUUUGUGUUAUUACUGAGGCACUGUUGCAUAAUUACAGCGUUCGCUUUAUUUGAUGCGUUUACUGUGUUGCUGUUAAUGGCAUCCUUUCAGGAUGAGUGUGUGAGAGAGCAGAAAUCAGUCGUGCUGGUGUGAGAAAUCACAGCCUGUCGACAUCUGUCGUGUGUGUGUGAGGGUGUGUGUGUGUGUGUGAUUGUGCGUGCAUGCAAGUCUGAAGUGAGUAGAUGUGUGUGGGUGUGGGUGCAAGAGUAUGGUGUUUGCGUACGUGUGUCUGUGUGCUUGUAUGUAUGCAAGUGUGUGCGCAAAUGAAUGAGAGAUGGUGUGAGUGUGGUUUGUCUGCGCGUGAGUGCUAUUUGUGUGUGUGCGCUAGUGAAUGUUGUGUGUGCAUUUGUGCUUGUGUGUGUGCGCAUGAGUGAGAGAGUGUUGUGUCAGUUGUGUGUGUACGUGUGCUCAUGCGCUUGUGUGUGUGUGUGUGUGUGUGUGUGGGAGUGUUGUUUGUGCGUGUGAGUGUGUGCAUACUGGGUGGUAGGUAGUAGUAAGUACAAGGAGCUAUGAGAUGGAGAAGAUCACUCAUACUGUGCUGAAAGCAAAUGAGUAUUCUGUGUAGCAGUCAGUCAAGCAACAGGACAGGAGCGAAGAGCUGAAUUACAGAGCCGGAAAAAUAGAUGUGCAAAAUUGCCCAUUUGUCAGACGGGCAACACACAACCGGAAAUUUCGAAAACAUUUUCUCAGAGAAGUACGGGCAGUGGCUUCCCACUGAAUAAUGUAUGACCGUCUGCUUUGUUUGUGAAGCGUCAUUGUCCUGACUCAUGAACCCAACGGUUCUACAGCGUCUCGGAGGAUGAGAAUAAUCAUCGGCUUUAUGUACGAGAACUCCACAAUGCCUGUUCGGUUAGAUUUGAGGACAGGGCUCCCAUUUAUUUGAAAAAGGAAUAACUGCGGUGGUAGGAGAGAGAUUGUAGGAUGUGUUCAUCUGCAGAGCGUACAAAUGGAUUGUGGGUAAAUACCUGGAACUAUAUACCUGGUUCUGAGAGCAGCCAAUCACGUGUCUGCUUUUCAUGGCACAUGACGUCGCAUAUUAAUUCAUCACAAAUAUCAUGUGCAAAGCUGUUUUACACUGUAAAAUGCCCAGUGUUAAUUCUACUCUUAACAGAUAAGAUUUGGGCCCCCUCUGGAAUGUGGGACCAAAUGUUAUCUGUUGAGAGUCGAAUUAACACUGGACAUUUUACUGUGUACUGCUUUGUUUUCACCAAGUCACCAAGUUCAUGUUUAGUGUUUAACUCCGGUAAUGUAAAUUCAACUUUGAUAGACUAACAUAGCAUGUGUUUUUGCUAUCCUCAUGAAAACCAGAAAAUAUACUGUAUUUGUUCAUUUUGAAAAAAAGAAAUCCAGUAUUUAAAAAAACCUGAUGUAAGAGCAAAGGUUAACUUGCUUUAUAAAUGUUCUCAUAUGUGGAGUAAAUAUUUAAUAUGAGGCUCUGUAGCAGGGCCAGCUAAUGCCUGAAGCCUGUUUCAGCAUUAACCUUCCUGAGGCAUCAUGGGAAGUCUGAUUCUCAAGUUUCUAUGUUAGUUAUUACUUCAUUUGUUUUUAUUUAUUUAUU